UACGGGGGAUCCAAGCGUUAUCCGGAUUUAUUGGGUUUAAAGGGUGCGUAGGCGGCCUGUUAAGUCAGGGGUGAAAGACGGUAGCUCAACUAUCGCAGUGCCCUUGAUACUGAUGGGCUUGAAUGGACUAGAGGUAGGCGGAAUGUGACAAGUAGCGGUGAAAUGCAUAGAUAUGUCACAGAACACCGAUUGCGAAGGCAGCUUACUAUGGUCUUAUUGACGCUGAGGCACGAAAGCGUGGGGAUCAAACAGG
rnacentral:rRNA from 1 species